rnacentral:rRNA from 1 species
UCGGGAAUUUUGGGCAAUGGGCGAAAGCCUGACCCAGCAACGCCGCGUGAGGGAUGAAGUAUUUCGGUAUGUAAACCUCGAAAGAAUGGGAAGAAUAAAUGACGGUACCAUUUAUAAGCUCCGGCUAACUACGUGCCAGCAGCCGCGGUAAUACGUAGGGAGCAAGCGUUGUUCGGAUUUACUGGGCGUAAAGGGCGUGUAGGCGGCGCGGUAAGUCACUUGUGAAAUCUCUGAGCUUAACUCAGAACGGCCAAGUGAUACUGCUGUGCUAGAGUGCGGAAGAGGCAACCGGAAUUCUUGGUGUAGCGGUGAAAUGCGUAGAUAUCAAGAGGAACACCUGAGGCGAAGGCGGGUUGCUGGGCCGACACUGACGCUGAUGCGCGAAAGCCAGGGGAGCAAACG